rnacentral:rRNA from 1 species
CGGGGUGCAGCAGGCGCGAAACCUCUGCAAUAGGCGAAAGCUUGACAGGGUUACUCUGAGUGACGUCCGUUAAGGACGUCUUUUGGCACCUCUAAAAAUGGUGCAGAAUAAGGGGUGGGCAAGUCUGGUGUCAGCCGCCGCGGUAAUACCAGCACCCCGAGUGGUCGGGACGAUUAUUGGGCCUAAAGCAUCCGUAGCCGGUUCUGCAAGUCUUCCGUUAAAUCCACCUGCUCAACAGAUGGGCCGCGGAGGAUACUACAGGGCUAGGAGGCGGGAGAGGCAAGCGGUACUCAGUGGGUAGGGGUAAAAUCCUCUGAUCCACUGAAGACCACCAGUGGCGAAGGCGGCUUGCCAGAACGCGCUCGACGGUGAGGGAUGAAAGCUGGGGGAGCAAACCGGAUUAGAUACCCGGGUAGUCCCAGCUGUAAACGAUGCAGACUCGGUGAUGGGUUGGCUUCGAGCCAACCCAGUGCCGCAGGGAAGCCGUUAAGUCUGCCGCCUGGGGAGUACGGUCGCAAGACUGAAACUUAAAGGAAUUGGCGGGGG